GAGAAUGACAGCCUCUCUGCCUCAAGUCACACCUGGGAAGACUUGCUCUCCUGGCUGAGGAUCACCUGGACUGUUUUCCUGUGGCUCUCCCCAGUAUUUCCUUGUUCUUCAUGCAGAAUGGACCCCAUACCUGGGCAUCUCUCUCCAGAGUGGUCUUCUGCACACUGCACAGACAAAUAGCAACGUGUGCUUCUGUUUGGUGCACCUCUUCUUGUGUAACAUUGCCCUGGGAAGUUCUGCUGAGGAGGCUAUUCAUAAUCACUCUCAUGGCCUGCCUGGGACAGAUUCUCCUGUCUUACAGGCAGAGGUGGCUUCCUUCCUUGUAAGUCAUUCCAGAAGCUAUGCAGGGCUCAUUACCAUGGGACCAGCAUGGAUCUUCCCAUCUCCCCUAGACCUUCCAUGGGGCUAUCUUGAGAAGACUGCAGCGCAGUCCCCUGUGCUUUCCCUUUCAGAAAAGCCACCGAGAUGAUCAGAGGCACUGAGGGUGCAGUGCAGGGGGUACGUCUAGUCUGUCAUAUUUGAUGUGGCAUUCAGACCCAUUGGGCCAUGUGAAUCCAUGAUGGAGCACUGAAGAGCAGCUUUGGUAACUCUCCCUCAGCCCCUCCAUGUGCCCUGAUGGUUUGCUCUCCAGUUCCCAUGCCAGGGCAAUGCCUCCUGGCCAGAAUACUAAUGCAGCCUUGCAGAUUUGUUACAUGUCUGUGGGGUGAGGUACAGUGUCUGAGAGACUGCAUGAUCCUGCCUGAUGAAAGACGAUGAAAGAGACGUGACAAACAAAGGAGCAUGGAGGGGGUGAUAAGAAGAACUGUGAUGAGGUCUCCAAAACCCCAGCAGAGAAGCAGGCAAUGAAAGAAUAGUCCCACAGCCAAUCCAGCCAAAUUCUGCAGCAAACUCGAGAGAAAAUAAGGAAGGGACUGUAUCUGCAGGAUUGUGGUGGCUGCCAAAAGUCCUUCCUGUUGAUUCUUGAAUUUCUGUUUCAUGAUUAAAGUGUCGAGAGGCCUCAGGCAGGUUUAAGACUGUGAUAUGCAAAGAGACUCCACUGAUGCAUGGGGAAUGAGAAAGUCUUUCUCUAAAAAAUCAAAUUCAGAAGAAGAGUUUGGGAUGUAAAAGUCAGAUGGUUUCAAAUCUUUUACAUCUGUGGACUUCAUGCAGUAGACUGCUCCCUUCAGCUCCUUCCUCUGGGUUGCUUGAGACUUUCAGAAUCAAUUACAAGAGUCCUGCUCCCAGCACAGACCUGAGUGCAAAGUAAAGCAUAGUCAGGGCAAUAAUCCAAAUUAUCCUACAAGCUCAGCCUGAACUACUAGUAUCAGUAAUACAACUGGAAGAAGCCUUUGAGUGAUUAAAUCCAGUCUCUGGCAGUCACAGGCAGCCAUAUAAAGGAAGGACCCACACCCUUUCCUUGCUUUGCCACAAAACACUUCAUUAAUCUGUGAGAAAAUCAAGAUAUUUGGUGCAUUUUUAAGUAUGUAACAUAUACCCCAAAGGACCACAGAAAGGUAGCAAUAAGGGUCCUAAUGGCCUAAGACAAUGCCAGAGUAAGAAGCAUGUCAGUAGAAAAAGUCCAGAUGGUAUCUUUAGAGGCAACUCAUUGGUUCUUGAUUUGAUUCUCGUUUAUAACAUGGUGAUCAUCUCAAUUCUGAGUUUGAGGAUCAGAGAGAUGAUUCAUCACUCAUGAGAUUGCUUGGUCCUACAUAGAGAAGCUUUUUCUCUUGUCCACCUUCUCCCCUCCUGCUGUAGCCAGUCUCUGACCUCCAGAAGGAGGAGAGACAUCAAGAACCACAUCUUGUCCAAACCUUCCCUAUUGCUCCUAUUCAGAUAAACUGAGCAUGACAGGACGACAGGAUGUGCCCUGGGUCCUUCAAAGGACCAUCAGGAGCAUGGAAUUGACUAACCUUUAUCACACCCUGGCAGAAGUCCAGUCAAUGGAGCAUUUUGCCAGGGAAUCUGUGGCCGAGGAUCUAGUUGUAUUUUUGUGAUAAACCCUGAUUUAGAAGUGUAAAUAUUUAGCCAAUAUUGAAAUGAGAAACCUCUGGGUAGCCAUAUAUGUUAGCAAGGGACAUGGUAGGUACGUAGGUAGGUAGGUAAGAAGGUAGGAGGCUUAUUGUCUGCAAAAUUAUUUUUUCAGGCAAACAUUAAAAUCAGGGCUUGGGAAAACAAAAUGUGAAAAUGAGGACACCUUUAAAAGUUCCCAGAUACGUUGUUAUUUGACAUGAUGCCAUAUUCUUCUAUUUUUGUGAUGCUUCAACAGCAACAAUUUGAUGUCACAAACAGAAAAUAACGGUUUAAGGAGAGAGAGAUAUGAAGCAGAAGCAGAUGACCUCUUUAAUAAUAAUAAUCCUCUUUUUCUGCAAAAACCUUUGGUGACAAAAAAGCUAGAAGAAAAGUAGAAAAAUGAAGUAAUAUACAAGACCUAGAACUGUCACAGAAAACUGUGGUUUGUUUUAAAGCCUUCAAAUAAGACAAAAGUGGGUCUAUUGCUGCACCAAAAAAAUCAAAAGAAAAUAAAAAGGAUUCUUCUUUCUACUCUGGAAUUCUGAGCAGAGCAUGUUCUUGAGCACCACAUCAGUGCAGUUCCCACAGAAGACAAGGUCAGAGUUUGACCC
ensembl:lncRNA